AAAUAAUUCAUUCUCUCUCUUUCUCUGUCUCUCUCUCUCUCUCUCUCUCUCUCUCUCUCUCUCACACACACACACACACACACACACACAGAGAGAGAGAGAGAGAGAGAGAGAGAGAGAGAGAGAGAGAGAGAAGCAGCUG
rnacentral:miRNA from 1 species